GUAACCAGGCCAGCCCUCUAGAAUAACAGAGCCUGAAGUGAGGAGGAGAAAGGUGGGGAGAAAAAUAAGAGCUGGAAAACACAUGGCCCUAAACAGGCACUGGCGACUGCCCCUGGCUGCCUCUCUGAAUUCAUGUCACAUCACAACAGCUUGCCUGGCACUUGUUUCCUCAGUUGCUGUUUCCUGGAGCUCCUUCCAUCAGGGUGGGUCUUUCUGACCUGCAAGUCCCCUCCAUACCUCAUAAGCCUUGGGCAGAUGCUCAGUGAGUAUCCACAGUAUGGACGAAAAAUGAUUCAACAGCUUCCUGCACCCAAACCAGGUCAGACCAUCGGGGCUUGAGGAGUAUUACAGAGUGGCAGGAGUAAUAAUAGCUAACAUUCUCCAGGCACCCCCAGUGUGUCCAGCCACUAUACUGAACACUUCACAUAGGUGCUCUCAUUCACUCCUCCAAACGACCCUGAGAGAUAGGAUUGAGGUUUCUGUUUCACAAGUUCAGAGAAGUCAGAUAAUUUGGCCAGGGUCACACAGCUGGUAAAUGCUGAAGUCCAGACACAACCCAGCUCUGUUUGACUCUAGAGCCCAGAGUUAAACAUGUGAUCAUGGGAAAAAUGGCAAGUGUGCAGUUGAGAAGGCUCUGGACACUGCCUCAACUCAAAGUUACUCAAGCUUAACAUCCCCUGCAAGGGGUGAAUGGAUGGGCCCCCAGUAGACUGCCCUGAGAAGGACUUGGCACCCUGUCUGUGAUUUUCCUGCCCAAAGUGCAUGACUUGAAUUUAAUCAUGAAGAAACAGCAUCAGACAUGGCCCAAGUGAGGGACACUCUACAAAACAGCUGGUCUGCAGUCUUCACAAAUGUCAAGGUCAUGAAAGACAAAGAAAGAUGCAGGAACUCUUCCAGAGUAAAGAGACAUGGUGACCAGAUGCCAGGCCUGGUCCUGGAAGGGAUGGUGGACCAGAAAGGACUCGAGAGGGACAAUUGACAAAACGUGAAGGUCACCUGUACACUAGCUCAUGUCUUUGUUAAGUCUCCUGAGUUUGUGGAUGUGGUUGUAUGAGAAAAUAUCCUUGUUUUUAGGAAAUACAUGCUGAAGCCAUUCAGGUUAAAGGGAAUAAUCAUGAUAACAGCAAUCAUGAUGGGUAUAAAUAGAUAGAGAUAAGGCAAAAGUGGCAAAAUGUUAAAUUGGUGAAUCUAGGUGAGAAGUAUAUGAG
rnacentral:lncRNA from 1 species